GUUGUACCUCUAAAUGACAGAGCAUCUCUUAAUAUAAUGCAGAGUGGAACAAAUACAGGAAGAAGAGAUAUUGACUUAUGGAUUGCAUACCUGCUACCAGUUUGUUAGAUGCGGUGAAACCCAUCCAAGGCAUCCUGAUCACAUAACAAACACAGAGCACUGGAAGAAUGAGAAGCAUAUCCCUGUGAAAAAGGAACGGCGAUCGGAAGAUCUCGCGAUGGCACGGAAAGAGGAAGGAAGAGGAAGGAUAUGACGUAGAGAUAGCAGUAUGCUUGUAGGUAUAUAAGCAAAUACAUGCGUACAAUAAACGCCAUUUGCAGCA